rnacentral:rRNA from 1 species
CAGCAGUCGCCACGGUAAUACGGAGGGUGCAAGCGUUACUCGGAAUCACUGGGCGUAAAGGACGCGUAGGCGGAUUAUCAAGUCUCCUGUGAAAUCUAACGGCUUAACCGUUAAACUGCUUGGGAAACUGAUAAUCUAGAGUAAGGGAGAGGCAGAUGGAAUUCUUGGUGUAGGGGUAAAAUCCGUAGAGAUCAAGAAGAAUACCCAUUGCGAAAGCGAUCUGCUGGAACUUAACUGACGCUAAUGCGUGAAAGCGUGGGGAGCAAACAGGAUUAGAUACCCGGGUAGUCCCUGUCUCUUAUAC